AUAAAAAACAAUGCCAUGGAGUAAACACUGAGGAUAAAACAGGAGAAGCAGCAAUCUGGAGAUCAGAUUAGGAGACGUGCUGUGUAUCAGCCAGCAAUCCUUUAAAGAGCUUAGGAGAGGGUCCGGCCCGUCUCCAGCAGCGAGCCGGGUCAGGAAGAACCCGCUUCACGUCUCCCACUAUCUGCUGCGAGGAUUAGUUUCUCCCUCUGCUGUGACAUCACUUCCUCCCUCCCACUGAAGCACCUGAGCAUCUAAUGGGGAUCUGCUGCUACCGACAUGUUUUCUGCAGACGUCUCCCUCCCCUCCAUCUGUCUGCUGUCUCCGACUGCUCAGUGACGGCUCCAUACCAGAGAGAUCAAGAGGAGAGGAGUUUAAGCCCAAGAGACGGAUGAAGAAAGAGGAUAAGAGAGAUGAUGGAUGAUGGGUGGAUGUUGGGUCCAGCACAGUCAAGACUCCUCAUUCCAUGAAGGAAAAUCAGUUUUCCCUCGUUUCCCCUGAGGCCGUUCAUCCACGAAGCAGCGCAACGCCGGGCCAGCAACUCUGUGACAUUUAGCAACCAGGAUGUAAGAGGAACGGCAGACAAAGAGCCUGUCUGUGAUUUGAUGAACAUUUCCCGGGUUUUACGCCGUGAAGCGCCAGGAUGGGCCGAAUGUAGGACCAACACGAUAAAAAACU